CCAGCCGAGCGAGUGGCGCGCGUUUACACAAUCCGUUGGUUCGGAGCGCGAGCGACACUCGCGUUGGAUGCGUGGCUUCUUCUUGUGACGACGAUCGACGCGCGAACACGUAUCGUCAAUUGUUUUUUUAUAACAUCUUGAAACUCAUACGAGUUCAGCGCUCCCUAAGCGGUUUUGGAACCUCUUAUAAGAAUUCAAGUUCCAUUAUUAUCAUAAAAAGCAACCAACAACCAAUGAAUUGAAGCUUCAAAUAUUUUAGUGCGGCUGCCAUAGUGAUUGGAAUAUUGAAAACAGACAACUUUUCAAUUUCAAAAUGAAAAUUGAAAAUCUGAAGUUUCUUUUUUUUGAAAAAUUUGAAACUGCUGUAAGAUAUUAUGGAACUGUAAAUAUUGUGAAAAAUAACAAAGUGACGAUUAGUGGUACAGUGUCAAUGGAAAAUCAGGCGCAAAAAGUGCCAGCAUCAAAAAUUAAAAUAAAACAUAGAAUUUUUUCAUCGACAACAUAAUAAAAUUGAUGUGUUUCGUGAUUGUUAUGCUGAAGGAUCGUUACUAUGAAUCAGAUGUGUCGGAAACACGAGAUCGACAAAAAAAGGGGAAAAAACGAAAAAAACUUGAAUACCACCGCGGCCAACCUGUUGUGUGCACGGAGACAUUUGGGCCGCACAUUUAAAUG
rnacentral:lncRNA from 1 species